GACGAACGCUGGCGGCGUGCUUAACACAUGCAAGUCGAACGGAAAGGCCUGCAGCUUGCUGCGGGUACUCGAGUGGCGAACGGGUGAGUAACACGUGGGUGAUCUGCCUUGCACUUCGGGAUAAGCUUGGGAAACUGGGUCUAAUACCGGAUAGGACAGCUGUUUAGUGUCAGUUGUGGAAAGUUUUUUCGGUGCAAGAUGAGCUCGCGGCCUAUCAGCUUGUUGGUGGGGUAAUGGCCUACCAAGGCGUCGACGGGUAGCCGGCCUGAGAGGGUGUACGGCCACAUUGGGACUGAGAUACGGCCCAGACUCCUACGGGAGGCAGCAGUGGGGAAUAUUGCACAAUGGGCGGAAGCCUGAUGCAGCGACGCCGCGUGGGGGAUGAAGGCCUUCGGGUUGUAAACUCCUUUCGACAGGGACGAAGCUUUUGUGACGGUACCUGUAUAAGAAGCACCGGCUAACUACGUGCCAGCAGCCGCGGUAAUACGUAGGGUGCGAGCGUUGUCCGGAAUUACUGGGCGUAAAGAGCUCGUAGGUGGUUUGUCGCGUCGUCUGUGAAAUUCCGGGGCUUAACUCCGGGCGUGCAGGCGAUACGGGCUGACUUGAGUGCUGUAGGGGAGACUGGAAUUCCUGGUGUAGCGGUGAAAUGCGCAGAUAUCAGGAGGAACACCGAUGGCGAAGGCAGGUCUCUGGGCAGUAACUGACGCUGAGGAGCGAAAGCAUGGGUAGCGAACAGGAUUAGAUACCCUGGUAGUCCAUGCCGUAGACGGUGGGCGCUAGGUGUAGGGGGCUUCCACGUCUUCUGUGCCGUAGCUAACGCAUUAAGCGCCCCGCCUGGGGAGUACGGCCGCAAGGCUAAAACUCAAAGGAAUUGACGGGGGCCCGCACAAGCGGCGGAGCAUGUGGUUUAAUUCGAAGCAACGCGAAGAACCUUACCAAAUCUUGACAUCCUUUGACAACUCUAGAGAUAGAGCUUUCCCCUUCGGGGGACAAAGUGACAGGUGGUGCAUGGUUGUCGUCAGCUCGUGUCGUGAGAUGUUGGGUUAAGUCCCGCAACGAGCGCAACCCUUAAGCUUAGUUGCCAUCAUUAAGUUGGGCACUCUAAGUUGACUGCCGGUGACAAACCGGAGGAAGGUGGGGAUGACGUCAAAUCAUCAUGCCCCUUAUGAUUUGGGCUACACACGUGCUACAAUGGACAAUACAAAGGGCAGCGAAACCGUGAGGUCAAGCAAAUCCCAUAAAGUUGUUCUCAGUUCGGAUUGUAGUCUGCAACUCGACUACAUGAAGCUGGAAUCGCUAGUAAUCGUAGAUCAGCAUGCUACGGUGAAUACGUUCCCGGGUCU
rnacentral:rRNA from 1 species